AACGAACGCUGGCGGCAGGCCUAACACAUGCAAGUCGAGCGAAGCCUUCGGGCUUAGCGGCGGACGGGUGAGUAACGCGUGGGAACGUGCCCUUUGGUACGGAAUAGCCCCGGGAAACUGGGAGUAAUACCGUAUGUGGUCGAGAGACGAAAGAUUUAUCGCCAAAGGAUCGGCCCGCGUUGGAUUAGGUAGUUGGUGGGGUAAUGGCCUACCAAGCCGACGAUCCAUAGCUGGUUUGAGAGGAUGAUCAGCCACACUGGGACUGCGACACGGCCCAGACUCCUACGGGAGGCAGCAGUGGGGAAUCUUAGACAAUGGGGGAAACCCUGAUCUAGCCAUGCCGCGUGAUCGAUGAAGGCCUUAGGGUUGUAAAGAUCUUCCAGUGGGGAAGAUAAUGACUGUACCCACAGAAGAAGCCCCGGCUAACUCCGUGCCAGCCGCCGCAGUAAGAC
rnacentral:rRNA from 1 species